rnacentral:rRNA from 1 species
AACGAGCGCUGGCGGCAUGCCUAACACAUGCAAGUCGAACGAGACCUUCGGGUCUAGUGGCGCACGGGUGCGUAACGCGUGGGAAUCUGCCCUUGGGUUCGGAAUAACAGUUAGAAAUGACUGCUAAUACCGGAUGAUGACGUAAGUCCAAAGAUUUAUCGCCCAAGGAUGAGUCCGCGUAGGAUUAGCUAGUUGGUAAGGUAAAGGCUUACCAAGGCGACGAUCCUUAGCUGGUCUGAGAGGAUGAUCAGCCACACUGGGACUGAGACACGGCCCAGACUCCUACGGGAGGCAGCAGUGGGGAAUAUUGGACAAUGGGCGAAAGCCUGAUCCAGCAAUGCCGCGUGAGUGAUGAAGGCCUUAGGGUUGUAAAGCUCUUUUACCAGGGAUGAUAAUGACAGUACCUGGAGAAUAAGCUCCGGCUAACUCCGUGCCAGCCGCCGCGGUAACAC